AGAAGAUAAAAAGCAAAUGGGAAAGCCAACUUUCGUCACUGGACUGGGACACUUCAUGUCAUACCUGUGUUUUUCCUGGGGAAUUCAUCAUCAGCAUAGCAAUUAAAAACAAAAGACACUAAGCUGCUGUUGUCCUGCGUCGUUGUGAUGCAUUUCUCCUCCAUGGCCUCACGACCACUUGAACUCGGGAAGCUUCAGGAGAACAUGGAGGCCAUCAGGAUAUCUUUCUGUAAUCUGCUGGAAGCAGAACAGGAUUAUGUCACACUGAUAUUUCAUGAAGAUUCACCGACAGAAGAUACGUUAAAGCCUCUGGAGGGGAUAACGCUUCCCGUGGGAGACACUGCAGGAGAAAUCAUGGCCUCGGCCUGCACAAUCACCCACUACCUUGACGACCACCUGCCGAAAAUCAUCAGGAAUGUGACUGCGCACCACCAGAGCCUCGUCAACAACGUCAGAACGUUUAGCAUUCAGUUCAAAAAGGCCUUUGAGCCUACAGCUAGUGAUCAGCGUGACGUCCUGAAAUGCCACAGAAAUAUAACAGCUCUAGACACCUACCAGAUGAAAGUCAUCGGCCUCAGAAUGAUCUACUACACCAGACAAUGGGUGGAGGGUUUCCUCAACACGACCGUCUCCUGUGACCUCUCAUAAAAACACCUAAAAAAGUUAUUUAUUUACUUAUUUAUUUAUUUAAUUAUUUAUUUAUCUGUAUUUAUUACCAGCUAUUUAUUUCAUUUAUGUUGAAAGAUCUUUUUCACGUUCCAUGUGUGUUGUGUUUGCAAAGAAAAUCUAAUCACCAACAAUAAAGAAUUUAAAUCAAACACUGACCUGUGAUUACAAAAAACAUCCCAAACACUCUCAACUAAUAAUAAUAAUAAUGAUAAUAAUAUAAAAAAAAUUAAUAUAGCACUUUUCAAACACAACAUACAUACAGAUUAAAAGAACUUUUCUUUAAUGUUUCAUGAAAAGUUCAUUGUAAAAACAUGACACAUUUUAACAUGAAGGUUUAUAGUAGAACGUGACUUUAUUUGUAUAGUUUUCAAUUCAAUUUUUAUUUGUAUCGCACCAAAUCACAACAUGCAUUAUAGAGUGCAGAGAAACCCAACAAUUCCCACAAUGAGCAAACACUAGGCAGAGAGAAGAAAUCUCUGACAGAACCAGACUCAAAGAUGUGCGGCCAUCUGCCUCGACCGGUUGGGGUGAAAGAAAAAAUGGGGGACAACGGAGAGGUGGGGGACAGAAAGGGCAAGAGGGAGGCGAGGUAGAGACAGAAGAGAGCGACCAGGAGCAGAAAUACAACAAUUGUAACAAGUGUUAUCAGUUUAGACAUGACUGCAGCAGAGACUCAUGUUAUAACGUGAAAUGUUGAUUGUAAAAAUAUGAUUCUUUUUUUUUACUCGAGAGUAAUUUGCUGUAAUUGAUGAUAUGAUUCCCAUUAUGGUCUAAGCUUAACCCCUGGUUUUGGUUUUCAUGGUCCUGACAAGGCCAGCGUUUGCCAGUUCCUUAUGCAACGUUAACAAGAAAACAAAUACAAACACCCACCCACGUAUUACUAAUAUUCUUACAAUUUUACAUUUCUUUCAUGGGCCAACAUUUCAUAAUCGGUAAAUCAUCAGUGACACAAUCUUUCGUCAGCAGACUUUAGUGAUUUGUUUUUUCUGUCAAAGAUUUUAUCAGAACUUUGGCUGACUGUGCGGGUGCUGCUUGUUACAGGAUAGAUACAUAUUUUUUUUCACGUGUUCAGGACGGAACUCCCCCGUAGAAAACAGGCAUGACUUAUUAAUUAUUCAUGUGACAGUUGUACUUCUGGGGAAAAAGGUUAUUGAUCUUUAUCUAACAAAUGCUAAUAAAAGAGUAGUAGUUGAAAGGUGGAUCAGAGAAAGUAGCACAUCAGAGAACCUUCUGCUAACAUGGAUGUUCCCAGUGCUGGUAAGGCAGAGCCACGACAGCGAUGCACAACACUCUGUAGGGGGGACUAUCUGUGUGUGUGUGUGUGUUUGUAUCUAAUUCAUCUCCUCUGAUUUCUUUUAUGUCACUGACACAGUCCUCAUCUUGCUGCUCAUUGCACAAGCUGCUGGUGGACCUGUUAAAAGGGGGGCCUUGGAUGAAAGCAUACGUUUGAUGGAGGAGAAGAGACAGGCUGCUCUGAAAAACCUUACUAAGGUGAUUCCUUACAACUCCUGCGUCUCCAUGAACAUCACGGAGGGGGUGGGGGCGGAGCUGCAGUCCCUCAACGCUUCCCCCCUCUCCCCAUUUCGCCACUGCAUGGAAAAGGUUGCGGAUCUGACCCCGGAGCUGUCACGUCAGCUGAUGACCAUCGGCCAGUACAUUCAGCACAUGGUGCCGCCGGAGCGCGACCACACACCAUCUCACAACUGCAGCAUUCCCAGCUUUGAGGAUGAAUUGAAAAAAUAUUCGUAUGUCAAGUGUCUGCUGCAGCUCCUGGGCGAGUGGCUCAGCGGGCUCAGCAAGGUAGCCUAGUUUUGAUUUGACAAUCUUUUUUAUUUAUCUAUUUAUUUAUUUAUCUAUCUAUUUAUCUAUUUUCUAAAGCCUCACAUGUGCUGUUAAAUUAUUU